rnacentral:lncRNA from 1 species
GAGGCAUGCAGUGUGCGCAGAUGUUUCCAUAGCAAUAGCACUGCUAAUCGGCAGUGAUAGACAGAAGAAACAUUAGACACAAAGAGCCGCAGUCCGCCUUCAGUUAACGUGGACGCUGCGAAUCUCUAUUGUUCAACUACACACAAGAGAAAUCUCCCACCGGCACUACAUUGCAGGUCAAGUUCCAGUGCCUAUAUAUAUGGGGUGGCCGGUGAACGCAUGGUGUACGGUUGUGC